GACGAACGCUGGCGGCGUGCUUAACACAUGCAAGUCGAACGGAAAGGCCCUGCUUUUGUGGGGUGCUCGAGUGGCGAACGGGUGAGUAACACGUGAGUAACCUGCCCUUGACUUUGGGAUAACUUCAGGAAACUGGGGCUAAUACCGGAUAGGAGCUCCUGCUGCAUGGUGGGGGUUGGAAAGUUUCGGCGGUUGGGGAUGGACUCGCGGCUUAUCAGCUUGUUGGUGGGGUAGUGGCUUACCAAGGCUUUGACGGGUAGCCGGCCUGAGAGGGUGACCGGUCACAUUGGGACUGAGAUACGGCACAGACUCGUACGGGAGGCAACAGUGGGGAAUAUUGCACAAUAGGCGGAGGCCUGAUGCAGCAACGCCGCGGGCGGGAUGACGGCCUUCGGGUUGUAAACCGCUUUCGCCUGUGACGAAGCGUGAGUGACGGUAAUGGGUAAAGAAGCACCGGCUAACUACGUG
rnacentral:rRNA from 1 species